AAUUUAGUUGAAAAAGUCAUGAACAUAAAAGUUGUAGAACUCAUCAAGACAUACAAUUUUUAUUUUGGUCAUUUUCUUUAUCUGACAAAGUGAUAGUAACAUUGUUCAUAAAAUUUACAUCUCUCUUAUAGUUUAUAAAACCAAAUGAGAUAUAUAUAAAUUUUAUGAACAAUGUUACUAUCACUUUAUCGGAUGAAGAAAUGAUCAAAAUAAAAGUUAUAGAUCUUGAUGAGUUAUACAACUUUGUUGUUGAUGACUUUUUCAGUUGAAAUC
rnacentral:pre_miRNA from 1 species